UAUGAACACUGACCAACCCCCAUUCACUAUGAACACUGACCAACCCCCAUUCACUAUGAACACUGACCAACCCCCAUUCACUAUGAACACUGACCAACCCCCAUUCACUAUGAACACUGACGAAUCCCCAUUCACUAUGAACACUGACCAAUCCCCAAUCCCCAUUCACUAUGAACACUGACCAAUCCCCAAUCCCCAUUCACUAUGAACACUGACCAACCCCCAUUCACUAUGAACACUGACCAACCCCCAUUCACUAUGAACGCUGACCAACCCCCAUUCACUAUGAACGCUGACCAACCCCCAUUCACUAUGAACACUGACCAACCCCCAUUCACUAUGAACACUGACCAACCCCCAUUCACUAUGAACACUGACCAACCCCCAUUCACUAUGAACACUGACCAACCCCCAUUCACUAUGAACACUGACCAACCUCCAUUCACUAUGAACACUGACCAACCCCCAUUCACUAUGAACACUGACCAAUCCCCAUUCACUAUGAACACUGACCAAUCCCCAAUCACUAUGAACACUGACCAACCCCCAUUCACUAUGAACACUGGCCAACCCCCAUUCACUAUGAACACUGACCAACCCCCAUUCACUAUGAACACUGACCAACCCCCAUUCACUAUGAACACUGACCAACCCCCAUUCACUAUGAACACUGACCAACCCCCAUUAGUGAUGUAGGGCGUGUCAGGACACAGAUCAGUGUGUUAGUGAUGUAAGGUGACAGUGUCAGGACACAGAUCAGUGUGUUAGUGAUGUAAGGCGUGUCAGGACACAGAUCAGUGUGUUAGUGAUGUAAGGCGUGUCAGGACACAGAUCAGUGUGUUAGUGAUGUAAGGCGUGUCAGGACACAGAUCAGUGUGUUAGUGAUGUAAGGCGUGUCAGGACACAGAUCAGUGUGUUAGUGAUGUAAGGCGUGUCAGGACACAGAUCAGUGUGUUAGUGAUGUAAGGCGUGUCAGGACACAGAUCAGUGUGUUAGUGAUGUAAGGCGUGUCAGGACACAGAUCAGUGUGUUAGUGACGAUUGAAAACAUUCUGCAGUAGCCAUCAUGACUUCACGUAUCCUCUGUGUGCUAAUAGUGCAAGCUGACAGCCAUAGAUGUUCUGGUUUUUUAUAUAUGAAAUCUAUUAUUGGAAUGUAUUAUUGUUCAGGCAAUGCUUUGGUAGGUGCAAAUAUCACAUUGCCUUUUAUUUCAACAUGAAGUCGCAGAGGGUUUAAAUUAUGUUUUGUAGUCAUUUACAUGCUUAUAUUAUCACACAAAUCACACACACUUCUGCAUGAAUAUGACUUAAAACUAAGGACCACUGAAUCAUUCAUAUAAAGAUGAUUUCAGUGCAGCUACUAAGGUAGGCUUGAAACCACUUGCAUUUAGAAUUAAAGGUACUACGCAUGUUUUAUUUCAAAUUGUAAUUUCACAAAAUGUCCAUAAUAUAUCUGCACCAAUAGUGGAAUGAUAGUGUUUAACAGGAUUACUUAACCGAUAGUGUUGUGAUUGGCUGUGAUAUACAUUUUUUUGUUUUUCUCCCACCAGAGAGGGAAUCUGUUGUAAAAAAGUUGUUUUGACUUUGUGGCUGUGUUAUCUAGUAACAUUCCACUCAAGUGGAAAUUUCCUGGUUGCAAAAAUGCAACACUGUUCGCUCAAUUUCAGUUUAUGUGAGAAAACAAGUACUGAAUAGUGUAGGGAAUCAUUGUACCUUCUAAAUCACUGUGAACUAUCUUUUCAAUAACAAAAAAAAACAUUUUUGAAGCUGGUGGAUCAAAACAGAAAGUUAAAGGCGUCAGUCUCCAUCAUGUUACAGGGAAGUAGAAUGCAGAGAAGGGGGAGAUUUUGUUUUGAAUGCAGCAUAAAGCUGUUGCAGUUCCCCCACCUUCCACACGGGGGAGACAUUCAGAAUGUGGCACCUUUAAGUUCUUCUUCUUAUAUCUGCAUGAACAGACAAACCACUCAUGUUGUCAGCUUUGGCUCAAGGAUCACGCUACUCUAGCUAUAUUUAACAUAACCUCAUAUGCUCUUCAAGGCUACUGCUAUUGUCUGCUUGAGUACUGCAUUUAAUCACCAUUAAGGACUCAAUACACUGUAGAGUGCAUACCUUGUGUAACUACACGUAACAAAAAAUAAUAGUGCACUAGUUAACUAUGUAUAAUGUAUAUAUACUAAUCUACUUCCCUCUCCUUACUGGCCUGAUAUUGACUACACUAUCUAGCUAAGUCCCUCUCCUUACUGGCCUGAUAUUGACUACACUAUCUAGCUAAGUCCCUCACCUUACUGGCCUGAUAUUGACUACACUAUCUAGCUAAGUCCCUCUCCUUACUGGCCUGAUAUUGACUACACUAUCUAGCUAAGUCCCUCUCCUUACUGGCCUGAUAUUGACUACACUAUCUAGCUAAGUCCCUCACCUUACUGGCCUGAUAUUGACUACACUAUCUAGCUAAGUCCCUCUCCUUACUGGCCUGAUAUUGACUACACUAUCUAGCUAAGUCCCUCUCCUUACUGGCCUGAUAUUGACUACACUAUCUAGCUAAGUCCCUCUCCUUACUGGCCUGAUAUUGACUACACUAUCUAGCUAAGUCCCUCUCCUUACUGGCCUGAUAUUGACUACACUAUCUAGCUACCGUACCUCCCCUUACUGGGCUAAACUAGCUGGCUAGCUGAACUUGGCUAGUUUUAGUCCUCAUUGCCAAACAUCAUAUAUACUGCACCCUCAACUUCAAAACUCCUUUGCUAGUUAUUCCAUCGUGUAACUAAGAAAUUCCCUGGAAUAGGAGCUUCAAUUCUUUGUUUUGUUGAAUAGUCGUGAUUGGUUCGAGCUAUCUGUUGUGUGGUAAGAUUACUGUGGCGAAGGAUAUCAUUGCUACUUUACCCGGAUCCAAGUUCAGUUUAGAGAUCCACUGGCGUAGGGUCAGCUGAACGUUCCUGACUGGUCUUGGAACCAUGACAACGGGCAGCCCCUCCCCGCUUGGCUCUGAACGUUUCUGACUGGUCUUGGAACCAUGACAAUGGGCAGCCCCUCCCCGCUUGGCUCUGAACAUUUCUGACUGGUCUUGGAACCAUGACAACGGGCAGCCCCUCCCCGCUUGGCUCUGAACGUUUCUGACUGGUCUUGGAACCAUGACAACGGGCAGCCCCUCCCCACUUGGCUUGAUGGGAUAUGUAGAGAUUUUGCCAACACAGCCAGAUAUGUACAGUCUUGUACCCUUAACCUUUUUUUAAAGCGACUAUUUGUUGAUUAAAUCAGACUUUAUAAAUACCAGGAAUGAACAAGUUAAUUUACGUAAAAAAAGAAUCAUUAUAAAGCAACUGUACAGAGUGUCAAUGGCUACAAUGAAUGGUUAAAUUACUUUCAGGCAUGAAGGAUUAACAGAGCUCCUCCUCGCCUUCUCUAUAGCACUAGUGGAGACAGAGUCCAUGAUUUUUCGAGUCGACUCCUGGUAUCAGAGUCGUUGGAGUCGACUCUCUCUCGACAAUGCUCUAAACCAGGGGUAUUCACAUCUUACCAUACGAAGUCUGGCGCCUGCUGGUUUUCUGUUCUACCUGAUAAUCAAUUGCGCCCAGGUCUCAAUCAGUCCCUGAUUAAAAAACGCAGUGGAACGGGCUUCGGGGUCCAGAGUUGCGUUUGAGGGCUCUAAAUAAUGCUGUGUAACUGACUGUCUAGAAUUCGAACAAUAUUCUACAUUCUAAAAGUUGGCCCAACAGUCUAAAUAUAUGGCUAUGAGACCGAGACAGUGUUAACCAGGUGGUAUUGCAUUACUAUAUUGAUGGUGGUAGACAGUGGUGUGCAGUGGUGGGCUCUUGCAAUGAUGGUAAAACAUCAGCAGGCUACAUUUUGGUUUGAAUAAACAGAAUGGCUUCAACGCUCAGUAAAUGUUUUACACUUACGGCAAGCAAUGUGUCAGAACUUGCAGCAGCAGUAGGCAGCGGCAGUAGUAGUAGUAGGCGGCGGCAGUAGGCGGCGGCAGUAGGCAGCAGCAGUAGGCAGUAGGCGGCAGCAGUAGGCAGUAGGCGGCAGCAGUAGGCAGCAGCAGUAGGCGGCAGCAGCAGUAGGCGGCAGGAUACACUCUUUAUAGCCACUUUCUAUUCUGUGGCACACUUCACCAUUAAUUACUUCUGUUGCUGGUUGACAAUAGUGCUUUAUUUGGUAUGCUGAUAUGUACAGUACUUUCUGUUAGAGGUUUCUUAUUUUCUCAGUUUAUGUUAAAUAUGAUUUUAUAUUACAGCUUUUGUUUACUGUUUGUUUUAUAAUAGUCAUGUUUAUUAUUUUCUUACUUGUAUUUAAAGUAUGUUACUUUAUUGUGUUACUGAUGGGAGAACAGCACAGCAGUGUAUUUGAUGUGAGAACAGUGCCUGAAGCUCAUAGGAACUACUGUAAACCACUGCUUUAGCAUUCUCUACUGCUGUGAAGGACCUUAUAAAACCAUGAGGGAUUUAUUGGUGUGGACUGUGAACAUUAGUGCAAUUAAAAUCACUGUUCAAAUUGA